GACCCAGUGGUGAAAAUGAAUCACACCCACCCCUAAUACUCAGUGGCCAGGAUAUGUGGGAAUCCCUUGUUCGAACCAAGGCUGGGUCA